UCCUAUCUGGACAUGGAGUACACAUGACUCUCUCAGAAGAAGUAAUUUUUGAGCUGGUUAGGAGGGAAGUACACACUGACAGGUGGAAGAAGCAACAGAAGGCAGGAGAAAGAAGAAUUUCUUUUACAUAAGGAGGAAAGAAUAUAUGGAAACAUGAAAAGUUUGUAAUUGCUCAGCUAGGUGUUUUUUCCCUUCUACCACAUUUAAAAGAUGAUGGAAUCCUGAAGGACACCAGAACCAUAAAAUGAAAGGUCUCCUAUUCUCUGAAUAGUCACAGAGUACAAAACCUCCCAAAAUACCAGCUUCCCACUAUUGCAUGAGCAGGAAUAAACUUCUCUUGUGCUAAGCCACUGGA